rnacentral:rRNA from 1 species
GCAUAUCAAUAAGCGGAGGAAAAGAAACCAACAGGGAUUACCUCAGUAACGGCGAGUGAAGCGGUAACAGCUCAAAUUUGAAAUCUGGCCCUUUUAGGGUCCGAGUUGUAAUUUGUAGAAGAUGCUUCGGGUGUGGCUCCGGUCUAAGUUCCUUGGAACAGGACGUCAUAGAGGGUGAGAAUCCCGUAUGUGACUGGUUGCCUUCGCCCAUGUGAAGCUCUUUCGACGAGUCGAGUUGUUUGGGAAUGCAGCUCUAAAUGGGAGGUAAAUUUCUUCUAAAGCUAAAUAUUGGCCAGAGACCGAUAGCGCACAAGUAGAGUGAUCGAAAGAUGAAAAGCACUUUGGAAAGAGAGUUAAACAGUACGUGAAAUUGUUGAAAGGGAAGCGCUUGCAACCAGACUUGCCUGCCGUCGAUCAUCCUCCGUUCUCGGUGGUGCACUCGGCGGUGGUCAGGCCAGCAUCGGUUUCGGUGGUGGGAUAAAGACCUUGGGAAUGUAGCUGCUCUCGGGCAGUGUUAUAGCCCUCGGUGCAAUGCCGCCUACCGGGACCGAGGACCGCGCUUCGGCUAGGAUGCUGGCGUAAUGGUUGUAAGCGACCCGUCUUGAAACACGGACCAAGGAGUCUAACAUCUAUGCGAGUGUUUGGGUGUUAAACCCAUACGCGGAAUGAAAGUGAACGGAGGUGAGAACCCUUUAGGGUGCAUCAUCGACCGAUCCUGAUGUCUUCGGAUGGAUUUGAGUAAGAGCAUAGCUGUUGGGACCCGAAAGAUGGUGAACUAUGCCUAAAUAGGGUGAAAGCCAGAGGAAACUCUGGUGGAGGCUCGCAGCGGUUCUGACGUGCAAAUCGAUCGUCAAAUUUGGGUAUAGGGGCGAAAGACUAAUCGAACCAUCUAGUAGCUGGUUCCUGCCGAAG